UACGUAGGGUGCAAGCGUUGUCCGGAAUUAUUGGGCGUAAAGAGCUCGUAGGCGGUUUGUCGCGUCUGCUGUGAAAAUCCAGGGCUUAACCCUGGACCUGCAGUGGGUACGGGCAGACUGGAGUGCGGUAGGGGAGAUCGGAAUUCCUGGUGUAGCGGUGAAAUGCGCAGAUAUCAGGAGGAACACCGAUGGCGAAGGCAGGUCUCUGGGCCAUAACUGACGCUGAGAAGCGAAAGCAUGGGGAGCGAACAGG
rnacentral:rRNA from 1 species